rnacentral:rRNA from 1 species
CAAUCAAGAACGAAAGUCUGAGGUUCGACAGCGAUCAGAUACCGCUUUAGUUCAGACCGUAAACGAUGCCAUCUGGCGAUCCACCGGCGUUAUGUAUGACUCGGUGGGCAGCCACCGGUAAACCUUUAAGUCAGGUUCCGGGGGAAGUAUGGUUGCAAAGCUGAAACUUAAAGGAAUUGACGGAAGGGCACCACCAGGAGUGGAGCCUGCGGCUUAAUUUGACUCAACACGGGGAAACUCACCCGGCCCGGACACUGUAAGGAUUGACAGAUUGAUAGCUCUUUCUUGAUUCGGUGGGUGGUGGUGCAUGGCCGUUCUUAGUUGGUGGAGCGAUUUGUCUGGUUUAUUCCGAUAACGAACGAGACUCUAGCCUACUAAAUAGACAGUACUUCUUUAGAGUGCUGCACUUCUUAGAGGGACAAGCGACGUCUAGUCGCACGAGAUUGAGCAAUAACAGGUCUGUGAUGCCCUUAGAUGUUCGGGGCUGCACGCGCGCUACACUGAAGGCAUCAUCAUGUUUAUCAACCUACCCCGGAAGGGGCGGGUAACCCGAUGAAACGCCUUCGUGAUUGGGAUAGGGAAUUGCAAUUAUUUCCCUUGAACGAGGAAUUCCCAGUAAGUGCGGGUCAUCAGCUCGCGCUGAUUACGUCCCUGCCCUUUGUACACACCGCCCGUCGCUACUACCGAUUGAGUGACUCCUAAAGGAGUUCGGACUGGGCCC